CUAUCCUACCCCCUCGCUCCUCCCCCAAACACCCUUCUCCCACUGGCCAUUGCCAUCCCCUCCCCUUUUGCUCCUGUCACCACCUUCCAUCAUCAUCACUUCCUCCUCUUCUUCCUUCUUCACCAUCACCAUAACCACAUCCUUCUUAUCCACCGCUGCAACUACAACAACCAUCACCUUCUUUGUUACCAUCAAUAUCUCCUUGCCGUCAUAACUAAUCUCUCCUUUAUCUCACUUGUUGAAAUUGUUGCAGCAAGUAUGAUAUUUGCUGCAACAAUUUCAGCAUUCAAGUCUAGGAGUGGACAUUCGGUUCUUCGAAUUUAUCAACUUCGUUUGAUCUUUCGAUUUUAGAAAAUAGACAAGUGUGCACUGCACCUAUACCAAAUCAAACUAAUUCAGUUUUUCUACUUUAAUUUAGUUUGUUAUUUUUAAAUCAAUUUUUCGAUUCGAAUGAAAAAUAAAAUGAGUACAAAAGCAGCGCGACUCAGCCCAGUACGGUCCUUUAAAUCUAAAACCCACCUGACUUUUCAUAUUCCUCAACUUACGACUAUCAGCACUUCGCAUUUUUCAUCUACCAUGAUAUACUUCUGUAAUGAUGUUAAUGGAGGAGAACGCCUAUCAAUUUACAACCCCGACGUUUUUCUACUUCCAGCUUUGGGAGAGAUGAACACUCAAUAGAACAGGAAGCUCAAAGAAAAGUAGGAUGGCUCUUAAAUUUAAUUUUUCCUGGGACUGCUACUGUUAUUGGGAGACAAUCUGACGCAGCAGUCUGUCUCACUUCUACAAGUCAAGGAUCCCUUAUUUAAGAGAAUGGGUGCGUCCAGAUUAGCUCGUUUUGCUAUAGAUGACGAGAAAAGGAUGAAAAUAGUUGAGAUUGGUGGAGCUCAACAGCUUUUGAACAUGUUAGAGUUUGCCAGAGAUGAUCGCACGAGGAAGGAGUCCUUGAAGGCUCUUUUUGCUAUUUCAAAUCAGAAGAAGAAGACGACGAAGAAGGAUGAAGUAGCAAUAACAAUAGCAGAAGAAGGAGGAGGAGGAGGAGGACGACGACGAUGAAAGCAAAAGAAGAAGAUGAAGGUCGAAGAAGAAACUGACCAUUUUUUAGUAAUUAAGUUUACGGAAUAGUCUUUUCACGUACUAUUUCCAAAAAAGAAUGUCUCUUUCUUAUUUGACAACUCUUUAAUUUCAACAGUUCACAUGACAUGCUUAAGAGUUAAGACCACAGGAUUAAAAAACAUUUUGGUAUAGUAUUAAUAUCUUUAGUGUAAGACCACAAGAUUCAAAAGUCUUCUUUACUUUCAUAAACUCCGUGCUCAAUCAAACUAGGACAAAUAAAUUGAAAUAGAGGGAUUAUAACACUGAGUGAAGAAAACAUCUAGACAACUUCCUUUUUUAUCACACCAUCAAUCUGGUGCUAUUUUCGUGAAUCUAGACAUAGAACUUUAAUUGAAAAAAAUCAUUUAGUUGUCAGAGAAUGUUACCCUACUUCACAUUGUAAAGAAAUGUUAAUGAGAGGAUGUUAGAAUGUAUGCGUCCACUAAUGAUCACUGGACCAAGUCCACAAACAGAAUAAUAGUGCGGAAAAUAAAUAGCUCAAAUUAGAUCAGGCACAAGGAUUUUACGUGAAACCCCCUUGCUCAAGGGAUGUGAAAACCACGACCUGUACGCACAAGAUUUCAACCCAAACUCCAUUUCACUCAAACGGAGCAAAGUUUCAGAUUACAAACUCUUGCAACCUAGGAAUUAAAACUCUUUAAUCUCUUCCCCCUUACUGUAGCAACUCUACUACAAAGGAAACUAAGCAAUAACUCUAUUGCCCACUAAACCAACUAACUCUAGUUGAUCUAGACUUUAAGAACCCAACAAGGCUAACUCUAGCCACCAACUUAGAUCUUGAAGAUAAGAGCUAAACAAGCAACAACUCUGUUGCACCCCCACAUCAACUAACUCUAGUUGACACUCCUAGGCAAUUCUAUCCAAGAGAACAUCAAAACAAUGAUGUAAAGGGGUUUGACUAAAAGAUAGAUGAUUCGACUAACUAACUCUAGUUAAUACGACUCAAACUAAAAACUUAGACAAGCAACCGAUUUACUAUCCUUUAUAACUUAUGAGUAGAUUUACAAUAUAAGAACAUAAGACACAACUCAAAAUACAACAAAGAUGCUUUAGCACUCCAUCAGGUCCCUUGUUGACUAUGAGCAGUGUUCUUCCUUGAAGAUGGUUUUUUCUUUGUAAGCUUAUGAAUUUUCAGAAUUCAAAACUUUGUUUGCCAAAUCUUAAGUUGUGUCUUUGGAGAAGAGACUAUAUUCAAAUGGACACAAACCCUUCGGACAAGGCCAUUGGCUGAGAGCCUGCUAUUUUGAAAAGUUGUGCACCAACCAUGACAGUUGUGACAGUUUUUAGACAGCUGUCUUUUGUCUUUUUCGUGUGCGUAGUCUUUCCUCAACCAGGUCCUCUUGUUAGAUCCGGAAGUUUGUUAAAUCAUCAAAACUUCAAAUCAACUUAAAAUAACAGAGGAGUCUGCUUACUGGUUGAACCUCUUGGUAGUUCUUCCACCUAUUGGCACCCCAGAAUUUUGUGAUUGAACAAUCUCUGGGCAUUUCCACAACGAUACAUGCUUCUGUGCUAUAGACUAAUUGUAUGCUCGACGUUUCCUUGGAAAAAUUCGCCCUAAAUGCCUUUUAAUUAUACCGCCAAACUGUUAAGCACAAAGUUAAUAGACAAAAUGAAGUAGCUGGACUAGAAGUCUUCUAUAAUUUUGUGGACUUGGUUUUAUCAGUGAAGCUGUUUGGAUUAGACAAAUUUGGAUUUACUUUUGUCAGAGAAACCUCAGAUACUACUAGGAUUAGUUACAUAGUGUCUGUGACUACCCUGUAUUUGUUAUGAUGCAUAGUAAUUAACAUUUCACGUCUUCUGAGACAAAAAUUCACUUUAAUUGCAUGGUUUGCUAGUUGAAGCCAGGCCAAACUUGGCGCUGGUACUUGAGAAAUCAACCCAGGCCCCAGGCUAAAGAAUUCUCAGCUUAAACAAGAAAUUCUCUGGUGCUUGUGGCUUGUUACAUGUGUAUUUAAGGCAAAUGCAAGCUGUACAACUUGAGUCAGUUUUGUGUAGUGUUUAACUUUAGAUGUAUGAAGACUUCUUAUUUUAUUUGUGUGGCCCUUGCUUCCUUAUCCUUUUUUGGCUGAUGAAACUAAUCGGAGAUUAAGAUCAAUUGCCUGAUGAUACUACAUAUAUGUUGCUAGGCCUGAUGUUUGGUUAGCUUCAAAUUGACACCUUCCAUUAGUGUCAGAUGUUACUGAACCUUGCUGAGGCACUUGUUAUCUGUGAUUGUAUAUGGGCUUCAAUGGAUGUAGUGUCUAGUGCUCAUUCUUAUACUGCAGAUGAGGCUGCUGAGGUAUUACAUCAAGCUGGGGCUAUAUCAAUCCUCAAUUCCACUCUCGAGUCUGCUGAGGAUGCUGAAGUUGGGAAAUAAAUACAAGUCAAAUUUGCUGAUUAGAUUUCAAAAUUUAUCAUAUGCUGUAAGGUCUUGAGAUAACUAUUAUCAGGAAAUUGUCCAUAACGUCUUUACAUAUAUGUUUUCUUAGAUUGCUGACCUUUUAGAAAUCUUCUUCUAAGAAAGUUGACAGAAUUCUUACAUGGUUGUUACAUGUAAUUUAUGUUACAUUUCCACUAGAAAGCCAUAGUUAUGCUAAGUGAAAGGUCUCUUGUUUAAUGGGAUCUUAAACAUUGCCAGCGAGUGAGUUAAUCUAUAUUGUUGUAAAUUCAUUAAGGGGCAUCAGAAUGGAAAAACAAUCUGGAUGCCCCAUGCAAAGUUGCCAUUGGCACACAAGAUCCUGUUGUUUUUCCUAUUAAUCUUGAAGUUAGGUCAUUUGGAUUUCUUACUUCUUAAAAGGAUUGGUAAA